UGCUAAGGUUUGCAGGACCACACAGUGUGGUGGGCAAGCCAGGUCUGUCUUUCUGUGGCUGUAAUCUUGAAGGAAGCAUUCCGUUUUAAAAAGAGAAAUAUAAAGUGAUAUAUUUGUUUGUUAUUAAAGCCUCUUUGGAUGCUGUGGAGAAUAUUAACUUCAGCCUUGGGGUGCCAGAAUAAACUUGCCUUUCAUAAAAUCAUGAUCAUUUCAACUACUGUCUUCCUCACCCCUGAAUCUUACAACAUUAAAGAAGCGACAAAGGCUUCAAGGGGAUAGAAGACUCAGAUUGCUGGACAACUGGACAACCUAAUUAAAGAGUCUCCUUCCUACACUGGGCCUUUGUCUCUGAUGCCUUCCUCUACGUGGAAUAUUGCAGCUCUCAGUUGUGUCUUACCAUCUGCUUACAGCUUUCCUCAGAUCUCAUUUCCUCAGUGAGCUUUAAUGUCCUCACUCCUUCCCAAAGCUGGUACUCCUGAUCUUUUUGUCUUGCUUUCUUGUUUCUUUUUUCAUAAUAUUAUAGUUCAAUAUACUAAUGUAAUUGUUUUAUUUCUGUAUCCCUACAGAAAGACUAUAAGACUAUAAACUAUGUGGACAGGGGAUUUUUUCUUCACUGAUACAUCCUUGGAGCAGUGCCUGGUAUAAUAGUUAUUCAGAAAAUAUUUGUCCAAUGACUGAUUGCUUUUCUAUGAAAUUCAAUAAUAAAUAAUAGAUGUAGCAUAUAUUCAUCACUCAGUAUGAAUUCUGGAUAAAUAGUAAAUAUUUCUAAAAGAAAAUUGUUUUCACUUCUCCCUUACCUGUCAAAGAUGUCUUAACUUAUCAUUAAAGUGUGGAUCAGAGUUGGAAGACAUGGAUUAUAUUGACUAUACAUGGGUGGUUUUUCUGGCACAAGUUACUGAACUACUACUUUGUGUUUUAGUUUCUGCUGUGAAAAAUAUCACAAGGUUGUGAUGUGAAAUGAAUGAAUGUAUUUAAACUCAUAGGGGCUGGGGAUAUAGCUUAGUGGUAGAGUGCUUGCCUAGCAUGCAUGAGGCCUCAGCUUCAAUCCUCAGCACUGCAAAUUAAGAAAAACAUAGAAAAUGGUCCAGAAUUCAUCAAGAG
rnacentral:lncRNA from 1 species